UCUUUCUGCAUUAAAAUCUGUGAACUAGUAGUAAUGAAUAUUUUUAUCCAUGGCCAAAACACAACAAAUUCUUUGGGAGGAAAACUUAAACUCUCUUAGAGGAGUCUCAUAAAGUCUUAUGACAUCAUUAACUUGUGUUUAAGCCUUUUUAUAAUGUUCAAUAUGUGAGUGCUACCUAGUCAAGCAACUUAAGUCCUGAGGUCGACUGGAAACGUUUGCUAAAUGCAUAUAGCUGUAAGGCUGCUUAUUCCGUAUUUUGUGGUAAUACUCGUAGUUGUGAUAAACAUUAAAUGAAUGCAAUAAGGCUUGAACUGACAAAACUGGACCUGAACAAAGCAUUUUCUUACAGCUAUACCUUAUAGUCGGAUUAUGACUACAUCAUAAAUUACACCCCUGAUAAGAUUACAGUGUUUCCUACCACAUUUAUUCAUAGGAAAUGCCUUAGUCUCAGUAACUUAAAAUCCACCAGUUGAUUUGCAGUAUCACAUACAAAAUUUUCUUAGCUUCCAGAAAACUAAUCCGAUGGUUUCAUAAGAAAAUAUAUGGGCUGGUCUAAGUGCUAAAAUCCAGAGUUACAACAAGGAAGAAAUCAACCACUCACACAACACAGCCUCCCUUCAAUUGACCCCCAGGAUAAGAACAAGGAUUUCCUUAUCAUGAGUGAUAACUAUAGUAGAACACAUGGCUUAUCAUUCUACCUUGCCUUUCAGUAUCUCUAACCAGGUUUAAGUGCUUACUGCAAUGUUAGGAGCUUGUUAACCAUAUUAGAAGAUGAGGUGAAUGGACUUAGCAUCCCUUCCUGCUACUCAAGAUGCAGUCUGUGGCCUUGAAGACUCCACCAGCACAGAAAUCAGGAGUUAAGAUCUAUGUAUUGUGAAGCAGCUUUAUUUCCUUCAGACCUUCCAUAGGAGCAUCAUUCAGAAUAAAGACAAAAGAGAAGCCCAGCAGGGACUCCCAAGUAUCUUCUGUGGAAUGGAGAGCCAUUGUCACUCUUCUGGAAUAGAGAAGAGUGGGUUCUGCUUGUCUUAACUGUAGAGAUGAAAGGCAUCUUUUCUACCAAGAGGUAGAAUGUGCUGUCUUCAGGAAACCUACUGUUCCACCACAAACAUGAUGAUUUUCUC
ensembl:lncRNA